GGGAGCUGGGGGCAGCCUGACAUGGCUGUGCAGCUUUACAGCACGAAGUAGAAGUUGGUGAGGAUUUUCUGCAGAAAAACAUAUGGAUUGUGAUUAGGCCAAGAGUUCACUGUAAUACUGGGUAGUCUGUUUACAACCUGUGAAAUAACAACACAGAGAACGUUUUUACCUUAAAAACAAGUUUGGGAAAGUUUCCUGGAGCUUCUUCACUUGUGCUGCAGCCGUGACCCGUUCUUCCCUGAGCAUGUUGUAGCCUGAAGCUUCCCAGGGAACACUGCGAAAAGGGCUGAGAGCAGGAGGCCUAGAAAUACUGCAGAUUGCAGCCUUUUUAAACACUGGGGAGAUGCAAAAUCAGUGGGAGGCCAAGUCAAGAAGCUACUGGAACUUUGCAGACCACUCUCAGAUG